AAGAGAAGAGUUUUGGAUUUGAUAUCCCGCCUUUCACUCCCUUUAAGGAGUCUCAAAGCGGCUCACAUUCUCCUUUCCCUUCCUCCCCCACAACAAACACUCUGUGAGGUGAGUGGGGCUGAGAGACUUCAAAGAAGUGUGACCAGCCCAAGGUCACCCAGCAGCUGCAGGUGGAGGAGCGGGGAAGCGAACCAGGAUCACCAGAUUAUGAGACUACCGCUCUUAACCACUACACCACACUGGCUCUUAUGUGUACUGAAGCACAUAACCGCAUGCCCGAAGAGGGGCUGAGGUUUCCCUUGAAAAAGCAGGCGACCCGGUUGAAGGCACCUGCCACAUCUGUCCCUCGUGGAGGGCGGGGGCUGCUUGCCAAAUCAAUCCUGUUCCUUUCUGCUCUUACAUGGAC